GAGAGAGAGAGAGAGAGAGAGAGGGAGAGAGAGAGAGAGAGAGAUUAGUUGGUCUGGGGGGUUGAACCAGAGCUGAUAGAUGGAGCUGAAGGAGGAUCAUCUGCUUCUUGACCUGAUGCUGAAGAAGAGGAAUCCUGAGGAGUGGGUUGAUCGGGCCUGCAGUC